GGUCCAGUAGCUCAGCGGAAAGAGCAACUGCCUUCUAAGCAGUUGGCCAUAGGUUCAAAUCCUAUCUGGAUCG
rnacentral:tRNA from 3 species